CCCCCUUUUAAUCUUUGCCAAAGAAACAUUUAAUAUAUAAAAACAUUCAGUUAUUUUCUUUUGGCUAAAAAAAAAAAUCCAGUCUUAUAAAGGAGGUGUUCUCUACAGCAUCAAGGUUGAUGAAAACCAUACUCUCGCACAGGAAGUUCAAAAGACAGAACGGCAAGCAAGAGCUGACCCAUCUGCUAUGGAAACAUGUUACCAUCUUGCGAGGGCCAAAACCACUGACAAGAACACACCGUUAUUUAUGAAAAGCCUCUGCUUCCCACCUCUGGUCAGACUCCUCGCUAAGCUGCCACUGGGCUGGGCAGGCCUGCUGAUAUCUGGCUGGCGUUGAGUCCUCAUAACUGUCAGUAACAGAGGUGCUAGUGAAAUAUUAAGAGCAAAAUGAGGUGGCCAGACCAAUCAGUGGCAAAAGAAGUCAUUUAAAAAGCUGUGAGGAAAGACGGACCUGCCAGUUCUAAGCAUUUAAGUAUAAUUCUCCUUCAAAGUUGAUGGACCCUUAAAAGGUGACAAACAGGGGCCCCUCAGCAGAAUUUCUUUUCACUGGCCAGAGUCGACGCCCAGCACACUUGGGUUUAUCCAGCGGGGCUUCGUUUUCUUUAAAGAUAAGUUAUUUCUUCAUUCAGCAGCAGAGGAGAAUCUGGAAACAAUAGGCUUGGUAAUUACUCUGAUUUAAAUGCACUGGAAGAGAUUUCAUAUAUUAUUCAAACUUGGCCAAGGAAAGGUCUUAGGAACACCAUUCAGCUAUCAGAUGAAUAUUGUUCUAGUAUCCAACAGUAUCAUUCUUUGCUCUGAGAAAAGUCUAGCACUGGGGGAUACAUAUGUAGGUAAUCAGCCUAAGUGUGGUCACUUUUAACUUUAAGAUCCCACAGUAUGACAGUAAAAAUAAGGACACAAAAAUAUAAGUUUUCCACAUGUAGUUAAUUCAAUAUUAGAUGAGUGCUUUUCAAAGCUUUAUGAAGAUGAUCUCUUUAAAUGCUUGACUGUUUAACAGGUUAUAUUUCAGCCUUAAAAUCUAAUUUUCACUCCUUCCUUUCUCAAAUCCACAAGUUUUCUGAA
rnacentral:lncRNA from 1 species